GCCGGUGUAGCUCAGUUGGCAGAGCAACUGAUUCGUAAUCAGUAGGUCGGCAGUUCGAGUCUGCCCACCGGCACCA
rnacentral:tRNA from 1 species